UACGGAGGGAGCUAGCGUUGUUCGGAAUUACUGGGCGUAAAGCGCACGUAGGCGGCUUUUUAAGUCAGGGGUGAAAUCCCGGGGCUUAACCCCGGAACUGCCCUUGAAACUGGAGAGCUAGAAUCUUGGAGAGGCGAGUGGAAUUCCGAGUGUAGAGGUGAAAUUCGUAGAUAUUCGGAAGAACACCAGUGGCGAAGGCGACUCGCUGGACAAGUAUUGACGCUGAGGUGCGAAAGCGUGGGGAGCAAACAGG
rnacentral:rRNA from 1 species